rnacentral:misc_RNA from 1 species
AAAGUCGUAACAAGGUCUCCGUUGGUGAACCAGCGGAGGGAUCAUUACAGAGUUGCAAAACUCCCAACACCUAUGUGGACUAGCCUGCGAAUUGCUUCGGCGAGGCGGCUCCCCUGUGGACGCCAGCGCCUUAGAACGGUGCAGCCCGCCGGAGACAACCAAACUCUUGCAUCUUUUGGCAUCUCUGAGUACUAUACAAAUAAGUUAAAACUUUCAACAACGGAUCUCUUGGUUCUG